rnacentral:tRNA from 1 species
GGGGGUAUAGCUCAGGGGUAGAACACUCGCUUUGUAUGCGAGAAGUCUGGAGUUCGAUUUCCCAUACCACCA